GCCUUGGGACAUGUACGCAGCACGGACGGUCCACACAACUACGCACGUAGCAGAAAGUUCAUCGCUGUCAGACUGCUGAGUGACAUACACUCACUGUCAAGACAGAAGAUAGGUGCUGAUGAUGUAAUGUGAGAAAUACAGCAGAGGACUUCACUAAGUCUUAGAGCCACGCAGCUGAGCUGUAGAAGGGGGGCCAACGUGCAGAACCACAAGUCCAAAGAAAAAGAAAAGCCCAGGCAUCCGGCAGACACGUUCCAGCUUCCUGUCAGAAAUCCCAGAGGGUUCAUUUCCUGAGUUAUUUGAGAUCCCACCAUACAAGAUGCCUGUAGUGAACCAAGGACUGGCAGUGCUGUAGAUCACCAGCAGAGGGCGCCAACUAGACGAGGGCCACCACUCCUUUGACAUCAAUGUAUGAGCUUUACCUCUAAAACAGCACUGAUUCAUGUCUAUUUUUUUUCCCCAUUUAUUUAUUUUUCAAUUUAAAAAAACACUUUUGUCAGACUUUUACUAUAAGUGAC